rnacentral:rRNA from 1 species
CUAUCGGGCAUUCCCCUAGUACGGCGAGUGAGCGGGAAGAGCUCAAAUUUGAAAUCUGGUAGCCUUCGGUUGCCCGAGUUGUAAUCUAGAGAAGUGUUUUCCGUGCCGGCCCAUGUACAAGUCCCUUGGAACAGGGCGUCAUAGAGGGUGAGAAUCCCGUCCUUGACAUGGACCCCCGGUGCUUUGUGAUACACUUUCAACGAGUCGAGUUGUUUGGGAAUGCAGCUCAAAAUGGGUGGUGAAUUCCAUCUAAAGCUAAAUAUUGGCGAGAGACCGAUAGCGAACAAGUACCGUGAGGGAAAGAUGAAAAGCACUUUGGAAAGAGAGUUAAACAGUACGUGAAAUUGUUGAAAGGGAAACGAUUGAAGUCAGUCAUGCUCUUGGGACUUACCUCCCUUGAGUGGGGUCAACAUCAGUUUUGAUCGAUGGAUAAAGGCACGGGGAAGGUAGCACUCUCGGGUGAACUUAUAGCCUCGCGUCAUAUACAUUGAUUGGGACUGAGGAACGCAGCAUGCCUUAUGGCCGGGAUUCGUCCACGUACAUGCUUAGGAUGUUGACAUAAUGGCUUUAAACGACCCGUCUUGAAACCACGGACCA